AAUAACAUAAACUGGGUAUGAAUUAGCCUGCCCAGAAUGAAGAAAAAAUAUUAUCCAUAAGGUAAGAAUAUCAUUUAUCAAUACUACCUGCAAAGCUUAGCAUGUGAAACAAACUUUACUUCCAAAGUGCAACCUGUAUAAGUAACAGUUCCGUCAGUUUAGGAUGCAGGGCUGGAAAAAUAAUGUAAAUAGUGGUAUUAAAAUAAGAGUUAUUGAAUUUUUUUUAUCGUAUAAGAGUUAUUGAAUUGAAGGUAUUAAUGUAGGCUCUUUUAUUUGCGAUAAUUCAAGGCAUAAUGGAAAUUGGAAAAUCAAAGAACAAAAAGGAUCAUGAACAUGAAAAUUAGAUCUUCAACAUGGAUACCUGUUGUGUCGAGAGAAAUAUCAUGGUUGUAUGUUAAACCGAGAAAAAAAACUGCAGAGUAGAAGAGGAAGGAAGGCGUCAGACAUGCGCAUUGUGAUGGGCGAUUUUUAAGCUAGAUGAGGGUGCGCACUUAAGAAAUUAACUAAAAUUGCCGAGGAGUAACUGCAGGGACAAUAAUUGCAGCGAAUAAAAUAGUAAGUUUCAGCGACCUGCUCCUUCCAAUUCGGGGCCGUGACGGGGAUGGCUUGCAGACCAUGGUGGCGGCGGGAGACGCCGGCGUCCUGCUCAUUCCUGAG
rnacentral:lncRNA from 1 species